rnacentral:rRNA from 1 species
UACGUAGGGUGCGAGCGUUAAUCGGAAUUACUGGGCGUAAAGCGUGCGCAGGCGGUUUUGUAAGCCAGAUGUGAAAUCCCCGGGCUUAACCUGGGAAUGGCAUUUGGGACUGCAAGGCUGGAGUUUGGCAGAGGAGACUGGAAUUCCUGGUGUAGCAGUGAAAUGCGUAGAUAUCUGGAGGAACACCGGUGGCGAAGGCGGCAUCCUGGACCGACAUUGACGCCUGAGGCGCGAAAGCCAGGGGAGGCAAACGGG